rnacentral:rRNA from 1 species
UACGGAGGAUGCAAGCGUUAUCCGGAAUUAUUGGGCGUAAAGCGUCCGCAGGUGGCAUGUCAAGUCUGAUGUUAAAUACUAGGGCUUAACCCUGGAACGGCAGUGGAAACUGAAAAGCUAGAGUUCGGUAGGGGGAGAGGGAAUUCCCAGUGUAGCGGUGAAAUGCGUAGAGAUUGGGAAGAACACCGGUGGCGAAAGCGCUCUGCUAGGCCGAAACUGACACUCAUGGACGAAAGCUAGGGGAGCGAAUGGG